AACGAGCGCAACCCUUAUCCUUUGUUGCCAGCGGUUAGGCCGGGAACUCAAAGGAGACUGCCAGUGAUAAACUGGAGGAAGGUGGGGAUGACGUCAAGUCAUCAUGGCCCUUACGACCAGGGCUACACACGUGCUACAAUGGCAUAUACAAAGAGAAGCGACCUCGCGAGAGCAAGCGGACCUCAUAAAGUAUGUCGUAGUCCGGAUUGGAGUCUGCAACUCGACUCCAUGAAGUCGGAAUCGCUAGUAAUCGUAGAUCAGAAUGCUACGGUGAAUACGUUCCCGGGCCUUGUACACACCGCCCGUCACACCAUGGGAGUGGGUUGCAAAAGAAGUAGGUAGCUUAACCUUCGGGAGGGCGCUUACCACUUUGUGAUUCAUGACUGGGGUGAAGUCGUAACAAGGUAACCGUAGGGGAACCUGCGGUUGGAUCACCUCCUUACCUUAAAGAA
rnacentral:rRNA from 1 species